CUGAAGGGCCCCGCCCCCUGCCCUGACGCGGUCGCUAUGGUAACUCGUCCGGGUUUCUGAGGUUUCUGUCAACAGUGAGAGGAAUAGUGAAGAAAUGCCUUUCUCCAUUUUGCUCUAAUUCUCCCUUGGUCCCGGCACUACGAUUGUUGCAUCCCUCCACAUCUCCUAAGCACACGGAAGACUAGAUGACGUCCUUUGGGGAGUGCGCAUUCUGAGAAAACUUACAUGAAGCAUCUAUAACCGCGCCCAGCUUAAGAUAAGGCACACCUCGUUUCACCUCUUUGUGCUUCUGCACAGAAAAUCAGACCUUCUGUUGCAAGAUGGCCCUAAGGAUUUGACAUUGAUCACCAUCAUAGAAUUGGAACUUACAAAUAUUUUUCUCUUGGUAACACUCUGCAGAUGGUUAAGAGCCAGCACGUGGUUGCUGGGGAUUGAACUCAGGACACUGUAGCUAACCAUUGUCGGUAACUCCAGUUCCCGGAACUCCAGCACUGUCUCUGCCCUCCAUGGGCAGCCCACAUGCGAGUGAUGCACACAUACAUACAAGUAAAGCACCCGCAUAGACAGCAAAACUUUGAAGAAAGAUAAUUUGUUUCCAGCAAAUCUGGACUAUAAGAAUGUCUGACAAACAACUUAAAUCAAGAAAGAGAGUUUGUUCACCUCCUGACAGACAAGAGAUGGGGAGGUGCAGAAGAAAGAGAGAAGAACAGAGAGGAAGAGAGGGGAGGGAAAAAGGAGAGGAAAGCAGUCUGGGGCAAGAAAGAUCCAAGGACCCACUGUAGUGACUUACUUCCUUCAGCUGCAAAGUGGCUAUAAGUUUCAAGUGGUCCCUGAAAGAACACCUCAGCUGGACUCAACCCCUCAAAUCACAAGCCUUUUGGAAGACCAGUUCACAUCCAAACUGAACAGUACAUUUCCUAGAACACCAAAGUCUCAUGUGCGUCUCACAAGGUAAUAUUUGGUAUACCAAGGGUUCCCAAAGCCUUAUCAGUUCAAACAUUGUUGACAAUUUAGGUUCAAUUAAGAUCUGAGACUCAAGGCAAAUUUUUACUCUUAGGCUCUAUAAAAUAAAACAAGCGGUGAAUGUCAUGUUUGGUUGUUGCCUCUCAGAAGUCUGCUCUUUUCUGAAAGGAAAAAAAGGGGAGAGGAUCUGAGGG
ensembl:lncRNA LOC108350428 uncharacterized LOC108350428